rnacentral:rRNA from 1 species
CUACGGGAGGCAGCAGUGGGGAAUAUGGGACAAUGGGCGAAGGCCUGAUCCAGCCAUGCCGCAUGAGUGAAGAAGGCCUUUGGGUUGUAAAGCUCUUUUAGUGAGGAAGAUAAUGACGGUACUCACAGAAGAGGUCCUGGCUAACUCCGUGCCAGCAGCCGCGGUAAUACGGAGAGGGCUAGCGUUAUUCGGAAUUAUUGGGCGUAAAGGGCGCGUAGGCGGAUUAGUAAGUUAAAAGUGAGAUCCCAAGGCUCAACCUUGGAAUUGCUUUUAAAACUGCUAAUCUAGAGAUUGAAAGAGGAUAGAGGAAUUCCUAGUGUAGAGGUGAAAUUCGUAAAUAUUAGGAGGAACACCAGUGGCGAAGGCGUCUAUCUGGUUCAAAUCUGACGCUGAGGCGCGAAGGCGUGGGGAGCAAACAGGAUUAGAUACCCUGGUAGCCCACGCUGUAAACGAUGAAUGUUAAAUAUGGGAAGUUUUACUUUCUGUAUUACAGCUAACGCGUUAAACAUUCCGCCUGGGGACUACGGUCGCAAGAUUAAAAC